CAUCUUGUGAGCAUCUGGGCCAAGUUCAGGGCUGGUGCUCUCGUUCAGAUAGAUUUAGCUGGUGGUGCAGAGAUCCGUGAGCUUGCUUUUACAGGACUUUAAUGAUAUAUAAAAGCAGCACGAGGUGCUCCUGACUGUGGAUUAAUUUGGAGAUGACUUUCUCUGUUGAAGAGUAGCAAGACUCUCGCGAGUUCUUAAAAAUGCACUUGUUUGGUAUGAGAAUGAAAAGCAGUGGCUGAAGAACCAAUCUUCAAUGGGCAAGCCUUCUCUGUGUCUGUUCUAACACGUGCCAUUUGGGAUCCCUUGGAAUCUUCAUGUACAGAACUGGUUGCUGCCUCGUUGAGUCGGUGGGGACAGAAUAGCUCCUGGUUGACAGCAUGGGUUGUGCAGAAGGACGGAUCCUGCAGACAUCAAUAUCUGGCUUUGAGUGGCACAAAGAAAUAAAGGAAUGUGGAUUCAGACCUCACUGGGAUGCUUGGCAAUUCUAAUUCUACCCCAGACUGCAAAUGGACACACAACUGUUGUGACUUUUGUUGAAGAGGAGAAGGAUGGCACAGAAGCUGGAUUCAGAAGCACACAGGUCUGGGGAUGCAGGCUUCGGCCAGCCUGAUGCAAGGAAAGACUGCCAUCUCGUGGUCAGCUCAAUCCUGGCACCUUGGUGAGGGACCAGGCUGCAGAAAACCAGGCUUGGGGAGGAAACGGUGCUGCAAACUGGAUUUCUGCCGGACAGUGUGGAUGCCCUUAGAAAACACCCAGAAAAGAGCUGAGUGCCCCCCAAGACUUGCCCUGAAUUCUUUCAUGUGCAAUAUCCGAAAACCCUCUCUUGGGGCCUGGAUCAGGACCCCUUUCCUAUAACAUCUUUCUGGCGACAACAAAGGGACAAUGGUGUGGAAUCCCCCUUCCCAAAUGCUACUUUUAGAUAUCACCUUUUGUCGGAACUUGGAGUUGGUAAUGACCUUCACCAUACCACCACUCUGGGACUGAGCUUCUCUCUACCCUGAUGCAAGAGACCCUAAUAGGCAGGAAUAUGACCACCCCUAUUCAGCCUGAAGAAGUUACAGAAGUUCUGAAACCCUUAGAAAUGAGGGUCUUCUUGUAAAGGGAGUGGGGAGAUAUAUCAGAGGCAUUUGAACCAGAGCAACUCCAUCUUGAGUGAGGGCUAGGAAAAUGAGGCUAGGACUUGCUGGGCUGCAUUCUCAGAAAGUCAGUCAUUCCUAGCCUCUAGAUGUUUACGGUUAAGGGAACAAAUUUAUAACAUUUACUAAACACACCCAGACUUGGGAGUGUCCAGAUAUCCCAAUAUCUGGAGAACAAAGGCAUUCCUAAUUUUGCUUUAAAGACAAUAAUAUUGAUUCUUGCAAAAUAUAGUAAUUAAGAAAAUUAAUCCUUUAUCACAAACCCUUGUAGUAAAACACAUCUCCCCAUAUAUACAAGCAUUGUACCUAAGGUGGAUGCGUUCCAUCUCUUACUUUCAGGAAUGUCCUACACUAUCUAAGGAGUAGCUGUACUUUCACCACUUUACUUUCUUAAUAAACUUGUUU
rnacentral:lncRNA from 10 species